UCGCAUCUUACGAUGGCAGUCUCGUUAGAGUCCCCAGCUUAACCUGAUGGUAACUAACAAUGAGGGUUGCGCUCGUUAUGGCACUUAAGCCGACACCUCACGGCACGAGCUGACGACAACCAUGCAGCACCUACACAUUUGCCCCGAAGGGAAGGCACGUCUCUGUGCCGGUCAAAUGCAUUUCAAGCCCGGGUAAGGUUCCUCGCGUAUCAUCGAAUUAAACCACAUGUUCCUCCGCUUGUGCGGGCCCCCGUCAAUUCCUUUGAGUUUCAUUCUUGCGAACGUACUCCCCAGGUGGAUUACUUAACGCUUUCGCUAAGCCGCUUGCUGUGUAUCGCAAACAGCGAGUAAUCAUAGUUUACUGCGUGGACUAC
rnacentral:misc_RNA from 1 species